rnacentral:miRNA from 1 species
GUGUAUGUGUCAGUAUGUCUGUGUGUGUAUGUCAGUAUGUCUGUCAUAGACACACACAGACAUACUGACAUACAUACACAGACAUACUGACAG